CCCUUAGAUGUUCUGGGCCGCACACGCGCUACACUGAAGGAGGCAGCGUGUACUCCUGGAUCGAAAGAUUUGGGUAACCCGCGAAUCUCCUUCGUGCUAGGGAUUGAGGUUUGCAAUUAUCCUUCAUGAACGAGGAAUUCCCAGUAAGUGUAAGUCAUAAGCUUGCGCUGACUACGUCCCUGCCCUUUGUACACACCGCCCGUCGCUACUACCGAUUGAAUGAUUUAGUGAGGACUUCGGACUGGGACCGAUGCGGCUUUCGGGCUGCGUCGGUAUUCUGGAAAGAUGUCCAAACUGUAUCAUUUAGAGGAAGUAAAAGUCGUANCA
rnacentral:rRNA from 1 species